GAUGAAGAACGCAGUGAAAUGCGAUAAGUAAUGUGAAUUGCAGAAUUCAGUGAAUCAUCGAAUCUUUGAACGCACCUUGCGCUCCUUGGUAUUCCGAGGAGCAUGCCUGUUUGAGUGUCAUUAAAUUCUCAACCAUUAUCAACUUUUGCUGAUAAUGGCUUGGAUGUGGGGGUCUAUUUUGCUGGCUUCUCAGAUAGUCAGCUCCCCUUAAAUGCAUUAGCCGGUGCCCCGCGUGGACUGUCUAUUGGUGUGAUAAUUAUCUACGCUAUGGACAUCUGCAAUCAUAUGGGUUUGCGCUGCUUCUAACAGUCUGUUGAUUCAGACAAUACAUGACAAUUUGACCUCAAAUCAGGUAGGACUACCCGCUGAACUUAAGCAUAUCAAUAAGCGGAGGA
rnacentral:misc_RNA from 1 species